UCCGGUUUGUCACCGGCAGUCUCACUAGAGUGCCCCUUGCGGUGGCAACUAGUGACAAGGGUUGCGCUCGUUGCGGGACUUAACCCAACAUCUCACGACACGAGCUGACGACAGCCAUGCAGCACCUGUGUCCAGGCUCCCUUUCGGGCACCCCCAGCUCUCACCGGGGUUCCUGGCAUGUCAAGGGUAGGUAAGGUUCUUCGCGUUGCAUCGAAUUAAUCCACAUCAUCCACCGCUUGUGCGGGUCCCCGUCAAUUCCUUUGAGUUUUAACCUUGCGGCCGUACUCCCCAGGCGGUCAACUUCACGCGUUAGCUUCGUUACUAAUGGGUUUAACCCCACCAACAACCAGUUGACAUCGUUUAGGGCGUGGACUAC
rnacentral:misc_RNA from 1 species